rnacentral:rRNA from 1 species
GGGGGGGGGGGGGGGGGGGGGGGGGGGGGGGGGGGGGGGGGGGGGGACGAGGAGGUGGGGGCGCGGAGGUUAGCGGCGGACGGGGGGGGAAGAGGUGGGUAACCGACCGAUGAGACUGGGGGAACGUCGGGAAACCGGGGCUACAACCGGAUAAUAUUUUGAACGGCAUGGUUCAAAAGUGAAAGACGGUCUGGCUAUCACUUAUAGAUGGAUCCGCGCUGCAUUAGCUAGUUGGUAAGGUAACGGCUUACCAAGGCAACGAUGCAUAGCCGACCUGAGAGGGUGAUCGGCCACACUGGAACUGAGACACGGUCCAGACUCCUACGGGAGGCAGCAGUAGGGAAUCUUCCGCAAUGGGCGAAAGCCUGACGGAGCAACGCCGCGUGAGUGAUGAAGGUCUUCGGAUCGUAAAACUCUGUUAUUAGGGAAGAACAUAUGUGUAAGUAACUGUGCACAUCUUGACGGUACCUAAUCAGAAAGCCACGGCUAACUACGUG